rnacentral:rRNA from 1 species
GAUGAACGCUGGCGGCGUGCUUAACACAUGCAAGUCGAGCGAGAAGUUUUGAAAAGAUUCUUCGGAUGAAAUUUAAAAUGGAAAGCGGCGGACGGGUGAGUAACGCGUAGGCAACCUGCCCCAUACAAAGGGAUAGCAUUUGGAAGCGAAUAUUAAUACCUUAUGAAACUUAACUAGUGCAUGCUAGGUAGGUCAAAGAUUUAUCGGUAUGGGAUGGGCCUGCGUCUGAUUAGCUAGUUGGUGAGGUAACGGCUCACCAAGGCGACGAUCAGUAGCCGACCUGAGAGGGUGAACGGCCACAUUGGAACUGAGACACGGUCCAAACUCCUACGGGAGGCAGCAGUGGGGAAUAUUGCACAAUGGGGGAAACCCUGAUGCAGCAACGCCGCGUGAACGAUGAAGGCCUUUGGGUCGUAAAGUUCUGUUCUAGGUGAUGAAAACUGACAGUAACCUAGGAGAAAGCCCCGGCUAACUCCGUG